GACAGAAGAUGGCGGAUGAGCAGCGUGCAGGGUUUUCUCCCUGUGGCUCACUCUCUCUUACUGUGCUGGGCGGUUGCUUCCUCUCCUGCUGCCCUUGGGAGUCAGACUCCAGGUUCUUCAGCCUGUGGCCCCUGGGGCUCUCGGGCCUUGGAGGACUGACUAGGAGCACACGGUGGGCCUCUCUGGUUUGGGGGCCUGGGACGUGGCGGAGCCCUGCAGCUUCUGUGCGGCCUGUUCUGGGCGUCGCGUUGAAACGCCAGCCAGUUCCCCAAGUAAGCUCCCUGCACACACGCCUGAUAGCCUGUUGGUUCCGUCCUUCUGCGGGAUUUUCACUACCACUCUCUAACUCACACACAGCAGAAAGAGCAUACGGGAGAGAUGAAGCAGUCCACUCCAAGAACAUUCUCAUCCUACGGAUUACGAGUCCCCCUGGGAUUACAGGAGUGUUGAAGAAAUGUUGUGACACAUCAGAACACCGCGAAAUACAUGGACACUUUCAAAUCAUGGAAGACUCAAGAGUCCUUGUUUUUGCCCAGUAUUAUAAACUGAGUUACAUAAAGGCAGAGCAAAUGCUAAAGCAAACUGUCCAGAAGGAAGGACAGCAGUAAGUGGAGAGACGUUAUUGCAAACAAGCACCUGGCAACAGCUGUGUUAGUUGCCCACCAGGUAUUUUUGAAAAAAGUACUCUGUGAAAAACAGAAACUGCAAGCAAGACAGAUACCAGGAUUAGGGAUCACGGUGACUUCUACCAUCGCUGGAUACUCCCAAAAGGGUUCUCGAGACAGCAGCUGUGUCUGCCCUGCUUUGGCAUUCUUUCCCAGGCAUGGCGACCGACAAAGAAGACAGAAAAUACUACACACUACCCAGAGAUUGAAACUGAAGGUGUGAACAACAGAGAAAAGAGAGGGCAAAGAAAAGGAAAACAAAGAAGACGUGGGAUAUGAAAGGUGUAUGCCAUGUGUGGACAUCAAGAAAUGUUUCAGCUCGCACUUCUGCCACCAAUUGAGCCUGGAACCUCACUACUUGGAGUUGGGGGGAGGGCAGUGCUCAUUCAUCACCUGUGAAAAUAGGGAUUGAGAGUUCCCUAACUUUGCCAUUUUUCCUCAAGCACUGGCAUUGGUCUUCUGAAUGUCAGGCUCUGUAUAAGUGAGUCCUCAGCUGAGCCACAGGCUCUGCAUUCCUGGCAGUCCACACACUUCAUAUCCUUUGUUUAUGCUGCUCAUUUUGGAAUUCAAACAGGUUGGUGGGGCACAUUUCAACAGAUAAUGACACACACUGACUGCUCAUGAGCUAUUUUAUGGUGUGAGAAUGUUGUGAUGUUAUGAAAUGCGGAGGCAUUAAAACAUGGGGACAUUUUCUAGAAGAUCCUUAGCAGAGAGUACAGAAGACUAAGGUCCAAAUCUCUGAAAUGAUGUUUUCCAAAUUAUUGCACAGCUAUGUCAAAGUACCUUGAUCCAGUUAAUGUUAACAAAUAAAAAAUUAUGAAAUG
rnacentral:lncRNA from 1 species